UACAGAGGGUGCAAGCGUUGCUCGGAUUUACUGGGCGUAAAGCGUACGCAGACGGUGAAGAAGGUCGGAUGUGAAAGCCCCGGGCUCAACCCGGGAACUGCAUCCGAAACCGCUUCGCUAGAGUAUGGGAGAGGAAAGCGGAAUUCCUGGUGUAGAGGUGAAAUUCGUAGAUAUCAGGAGGAACAUCUGCGGCGAAGGCGGCUUUCUGGCCCAUUACUGACGUUCAGGUACGAAAGCGUGGGUAGCAAACAGG
rnacentral:misc_RNA from 1 species